CUCAUCGUAGCUAGCUAGAUUUCAAAAUAACUUCUACUUAUCCAGGAGCACUAUUAUUAAUAGCCAUUUUAGGAACAAUGGCACGUGCACAAUAUUAGAAUGUUUACGAAAACAAAAUUUUGAAUCCAGUUUCAUCAUGCAAGUUUGAAGUAUAAAUAUUAUCUUUGUUUUUUUGGUACAAAUAAAUAAAUCUUUUUGUUGGUAAGAAUAAAUAAAUCUUGUUGAUGAAUACUUUACCUAAGUAAAAGAGAGAGG
rnacentral:lncRNA from 1 species